rnacentral:rRNA from 1 species
GUGGGGAAUAUUGGACAAUGGGGGGAACCCUGAUCCAGCCAUGCCGCGUGUGUGAAGAAGGCCUUUUGGUUGUAAAGCACUUUAAGCGAGGAGGAGGCUACCGAGAUUAAUACUCUUGGAUAGUGGACGUUACUCGCAGAAUAAGCACCGGCUAACUCUGUGCCAGCAGCCGCGGUAAUACAGAGGGUGCAAGCGUUAAUUGGAUUUACUGGGCGUAAAGCGCGCGUAGGGUGCCAAUUAAGUCAAAUGUGAAAUCCCCGAGCUGAACUUGGGAAAUGCAUUCGAUACUGGUUGGCUAGAGUAUGGGAGAGGAUGGUAGAAUUCCAGGUGUAGCGGUGAAAUGCGUAGAGAUCUGGAGGAAUACCGAUGGCGAAGGCAGCCAUCUGGCCUAAUACUGACACUGAGGUGCGAAAGCAUGGGGAGCAAACAGGAUUAGAUACCCCGGUAGUCC